GGCCACCUCCCGUUGAAACACUGGUUCCUGUACGAUCACCGAAGUUAAGUAGCAUCGACUCUGGUCAGUACUUAGAUGGGUUACUACCUUCGAAUACUGGGUGGUGUAA